rnacentral:ncRNA from 1 species
UUGAGCCCGAUGAAAGGGAACUUUCAUGUCCGGUUUUGAAAGCGGGGAGAUCCUGUAGAAUCCUAUCUCAGUUAUUUUUUUUUUUGACAAAGGUUAACAAGCCUAUCUCAGU